rnacentral:lncRNA from 1 species
GCAUUUCUGAAGGGUGAAUGGGUAAGGCUUACCAAUGUUAGUCUAGGAAACUUAGAUGCCCCGUUACCCGACCGAGUCUGUGCUUUCCUGUUCCCUAUAAAGCUGUUUGCCACCAGCCAGUAGGAAGCCAGACUGGGCAGAGCACUGAGCACCUACUGUGCCAGAAAUGUCCUCCAGACGCUGCAAGUGUCAGAGCUAACCUGCCUUCUAUUGCCUACGGUCUCAUUGUCUUCCACUUAAGGAGUGAAGAUAAGGUGGGUUGCCCUCCUGCAGUAUUGCAGGAGCUUAAGGCUUUUGACUCUGCACGUAAAUGAAUACAACUGCACAGUCAGUUGAGAUUACCACCUUAAACUCAGAUAGAAAACCGCAUCCUCUUCUUUGAGCCCAGUCAGCUUCCAGCCUUGUAAGGGAUAAAGUGCUGACAGCCUUGCUGGGGUUAAGACAGUAGCCCUUAGAGCCUCUAAGAGGGGUGUGCAAACAUGCCGUUUCUCAUUUACUCUUAAAACCCAGUAAAUGAAUAAGGAUGAGUCAACAUUGACAGAUUGCACAGUUACGCAAGCUGGCCCAGAGUCCCCCAGGGUGUGGGGGUGUGCCUUGGAUUCUCAUUGUGCAUUUUGUCCCUUACUUGUUUGGGUACUCUCCCCUCUGUACCCUCUGGGUUCUUGGAAGACAUAGUCCCUGUAUUAUUUAUAGAUCCUUCUGUAAGCCUGGCUGUUCUCUUACUCCUAAAAUGGCCUAAAGGGUGCCAAAGGUUCUAGUUCCCUGGUCAGUGGGUUAGUCUUUACAGCCAGCCACUGGUCAGCAGGGCUCAGCUAAGGACUUUGAGUCCCAGACUCAGCACCCUUCCUUGUCUGACUCGUUUACCUACGGAGCCCUCAGUGCUUAUCGCAGACCUUCCACUGGUGUUAGGCUUUUGGAGCCCUGGAACAGCCCUUUCCUGUCAGAUAAGGGACAUUAAGGGUAAGGGGAGACUGCCUGGCCGUCAGGCUUUGUGUACUCUGGUGAUAACCUGGAACCUGCCUCCUGCGACCCUCAUUCUUGGCCCCUGUAUGUAUUCUUUCCCCAUGUUAGCUUCCUGUCACUGGGACAAAAUACCCAAGAAAAUCAACUUAUGAGGAGGGAAGGUUUGUCCUGGCUCAUGGUGUCAGCAGUCUCAGCUCAUAAUUUGUCCUUGUUGCUUUGGAGCCUGUGGAGAGAGACAUGCCAUGGCAAGGGGCAUGUUGGACAAAGCUGCACUUUAUUCUGACUGGGAAACAGAAAGGAAGCCAUUGAGGACCCAGCUCCCAAAUCCCAGUCCAGGGCAUAUCCCAGUGUCCUAACUUAUUUUCUUCUAAAAUUUUUCUCAUUUAUAUUUAUUUUGUGUAGUGGGGAUAAGUGGGUUGUGUUCUGUUCUCUCCUUCUACUCUGUUGGUCCCAGGGAUGAAACUCAGGCUUAGGGUAAGCACCUUUACUCGCUGAGCCAUCCUGUCACUCCCAAAAGGGAGAAGGAGGGAGGGAGUGUGUGUGUGUGUGUGUGUGUGUGUGCGCGCGCGCGCUCAGGACAGUUGAGGGGAGUCAGUUCUCUUCUCCCACCUAUGGGCCCUAGGGAUUGAACUCAGGUCAUCAGACUUGAUGGCAGAUGCGUUUAUGGCUGAAUCAUCUCAGCGGCCCCACCCUAACUUCCCUUUAUCAAGCUUUGCCUCCUAAAAGUUCCAUUAUAUCUUCUUAGCGCCACAUACUGAUGACCAAGUCUCAACAUGGGAGCCUUUAGGCAACAGCCAAGAUCCUCACAGGGCCCUCUCUAACCCUUCCCAGGUUCCUCUCUAGCCCUUCCCAGCACAGCUUCUGAGUGGGAGACACUUCAUUUUCCUCUACUGCGGGGGGUCUUGUGAUGCUUAAGGCUCAAACAUGGUCCUACACUCUCUAGGCAAACAUUCCACUGCAGAGCUGUGACCUCAGCCCUGGAUCUGGUUUAUAAUCUCAUUUGCUUCUUUCAGACCAAAGGCUGCUACCCUGGUAACUAAAAAUUGGGUAACUUACUUGUUUAUUGUCCUGCUCUGUCUAUCAGCAGCCUGUGGGGUAGGCUCCAGAGGCACAGGUCCAGAAAGAUCCGCCACCUCGCUCAAGUUCCCUUCCACCUCCUCAGGAAGCAAUGAAGCUAGAAUCAAGCUGAGUCUUCCCACCCCGGCGGUGCCUGUGGCACCUUUGCCACCUCCACCUGACAGAGAAGUGAGCCCUCAGCUGGGCACUCAGGAGAGCUGGUCAAGUGAUAGCCUCUUGUGACCUGAGGCCUGGGAACAUCACUCAGGAAAGCAGACAGGAGGGCACAGAAGGGAAGUGGAGCCCACAAGACCUUUGAAAAGCCUGGGUGGGAGCUUAGAUUUGGAGAAACCUCAUUUUCAGGUCUAAAAAAAAAAAUCCAAAAGGGGAGAAAGAGAAUUUAACAGACAGGAAAACACAUGGGGGGAGAGUGCUGGUCUGGAAGAGGGAGUGGGGUGGAAAUAUCAAGAUUCUGUUAGUGAAGAGAGGCGCUUGCCAUCUGCUCCUGAUUGAUCACAGGCCUUAAAGUCUCGGCCCAAGGUCAGAGGUGGCAGAGAGUAAACCCCCAUGACCUGAGUUUGAGCCUUAGAAAGGGAAGAGAAAGCCAACUCCUGAAAGUUGUCCCUCACCUCCACAUACAUGCCAUAACUCCACAUACAUGCCAUAGCGCGUGUGUACCCAUGUACACAGCUAACAAUUGUUUAAAUGUUUUCAAUCUCUAAACAAGGGAUGGAAACAGAGCACUACAUAUAUACAACACAUGCACCACAUAUACCACAUGUGUACACAUGUACUCAUUUGCAUGUACUGUGACAUGCACACAUAUGCAUAUAUUUUAAAAGUAGGAGCUGGGCGUGGUAGUGCACACCUUUAAUCCCAGCACUCGGGAGGCAGAGGCAGGUGGAUUUCUGAGUUCGAGGCCAGCCUGGUCUACAAAGUGAGCUCCAGGACAGCCAGGGCUAUACAGAGAAACCCUGUCUCGAAAAAACCAAAAAAAAAAAAAAAGUAGGAACGGGAUUUUUUUUAAAGUGUGGCCUUUAUAGGGAAGUAACUAGGGGUGGUUAGAAAAUGAUCUAGGCAAGAGAUACUGUCCCUUGACUGGAAGCAGGCAGUCUGGGGGCUGAGGUGUCCACCACUGAACGAGCGGACUCUUUAGACUUAGCCGCUGUGGGGCCGGGAAGAAGGAAUUAAGCAUGACUCCAGGAACUUACACCUCAAAGAUUGGGGGAAGGGAGGCGGUGCCAAACAAGGGCUCUUAAAGGAGUAGCAGGCUUCUGGGGAAGUUAAUGAGUUUGAAAUUUAACGUAAGUGUUACAUACUAGUAAGAUAACCAAGAAAAAAAGUUGGAUCUAUGGAUCUGGAACC